UCCCCAGUGGUCCAGUGGUUAAGACUUUGUGCUUCCACUGCAGGGGGCUUGGGUUCUACCCCUGGUUGGGGAA
rnacentral:tRNA from 1 species